AGCUAAGGGAACAAAGGAAAGCACAGGAAGUUCAACAACGACGAAGGCUUUUGAUUUGAUCGGAGGUGAAGAACACGAAACGGUAUAGUGCCAGAAUUAUAUAUGGCGAUCCCCGCUGCAUCAGGUGGACUUUUCAAGGUCCUGAAGCCGAGCUUUCGCGUUCAGUCCACUGAUAUCCAGGCCGCUGCCUCGUGGGGCAUCGCCGCCGGAGUUACAGCCAUAUGGCUCAUCCAGCCAUUUGAUUGGUUGAAGAAGACUUUGUUCAAGAAACCGGAGCCAGAGGGAAAUGCCUAGUAGGAUUAACUCUUUGACAUAUGAGAAAACUGUGAACAUUGUUGAGUAAUUUGAGUUGAAUAAUGCAUUUCAGCAUUUAUUUUCCAUGUUAGAACGACUAUGAAGUCUUGUUGGUUUUGGUUUUGGUAUAAUUAAAUGGCAGACAUGGUUGAAUGCUC